GCACCUAUCAAAACCUUGAUGAAAAUAACAAACCGAAAAUCUGAGAAACGCGAUUUGACCUUGGACGUGCCCCGUGCCAGUGCACUGGCCUUAGGGGUGCUGAAGAACUUGAUUUGGAGAGCUUGACGCUGCUGCGAGCACCACAGGGCUACUAGCGGUACGUCACGUGCUGCUGGUUUUCUAGAGACGGAUGUUUGCUGAUAUUAGGCUGUUAAGACUGAGCCGUGAUGCAGUGGCCGGUGGGAGUGCCGGCGCCGGUCGUGGUGGACCCGACGCCCAGCGCUCCGCUUCGCGCUGCUACCACACAGGUCUCUGAAUGGAGCUGCGUUCCGGUGGGCGGCUGGCUGCGCUCUCUCGGUCUGGCCCAGUACGCCGACGCGUUCGUCGCCCGCUCUGUGGAUGGCGCCCGGCUUCUGGGGCUCACCGAACAGGCUAUGGAAGACGAGCCCGACGUCGGUCUCGACGUGGCGACCUCGGAGCCAGCGUGUUGGGUCUCGGCUUCCCGCCACUCACCGGCGGACCUUUCCGCUUCGUGGACCGCAUCGGUCCCGCACAGCUAGUCAAGGACAUGGAGCGCUUCGCCGUCGUCAAUGGCGUCGGCUUCGAGCCGUGCCUGACCUUGCACAACCAGGCCGCUAGCGGCACCAAGUUCUGUUCGGCCGGGCCUCGUGUAAUGCCCACAUGUGAUGACCGAGUGUAUACGCAUGUGAAGCCGCUCCGCGUGUGUACCAGCGCUGGGCGUGUUCAGUUUCAAAGUAAAUAUAGAACCCUGGUGAUCAA